UCCAUGCUCCACAGGUGGGAGUGGAGAGCAGCGUGCCGAGCAGCAUGUCCUCUCCUCUAGCACGGCCUAUCCUUUCACAGCACCUCUGUCUACAGGCAUACAGUUGAAAACACCAAAUCUUCACAAAAUGUUCCUCCCUCUGACACCUUCCCAAGCAAAAAUGGUGUUGUGCUGAAAGGCAUCACCCCUGCGGCAGGCGAGGAGGCCAGAAGGUGCCAGGGAGCCCUCCAGUACGAGGACACAUGCUGACCACAAAACGCAGACUUUGUUUCCGUUUAUCCUCCUUCCCCAGCCCAUGCUACACAUGGGCAGCCUGAUGCUGGUUUCUCUUCACUGUCACCCAGGGACUGGUUCCCACCUCCUCCUAAGCACUGCCUGUGCCUCGGUUUUCCCAUGCUAUGGGUUUUCAGAGAGGGCUUUUCCUGUGCUGGACAGGUGGGGAAAGAAGAUUCUCCAACCGAGAUAGUUCCCUCAAAAUCACCAAAAUGCCCCCAGCACCUCCCAGAUCAGGCACUCCAGCACAAGUUUGUUGUGCCUCUACACUGUUAGUGGGAAGAAAAGAUGGCAAUUAAAAUAAAUUAGAGGCUGGCAGCCCCAUUUGUCAUCAGGGAGCUGUUACAAUCUGAAUAGGGUGGGAACUCAGGCAGGAGACAAUCAAUAAAGCAGGGCUGUAAGGAGACACCCACCAACCUUCAGGCAGAGCCCCGAAAUCAAAAGCCUGCCUGACUUUGCUAUCGGAGCAGUGCUGGCCCUGGGGAAGGAAGGCGUGAGCUGAGUUCCCUCCAGCCCUUGGGUUUCCAAGCUGGGAGCUAUGGGCAAGGCUUUGCUGCUCAAGGAGACCCUUUUGCACGGCGUAACGGGAUCCUCUGCAACUUGGAGGAGCAGUGAAUAAUUCAUGGGCUCUGGCAGAUCACGCAGCCCUGGGGCAGACCUGGGAUUUUAUCCUUCCUUCAGCCCAGGAUGCUCCUAGGAACAAGGGGACCUUCCUACUCCUGAAGCACUGGGGACUGAAAAACACUUUGGGAUCUCAGAGCCAGUGGGGGAGCUGAAGCAAAGCACAUUGUGCUGCUCCCAGCUGUCCCAGUGUGUCACCCGCCACGCAUCAGCCCUGCAGCAGCUUCAUACCGUCCUCCUGGGGGAACCCUGCUGAGCACUUGUCUCUCUCCUUGAAGGCAUUUCAGGACCAUUUCAAUCCCGUGCAUGUUCACCUCUCCUGGUCCACCAGCAGCUCCAUUGGUUCCCCUCCAGAAGGGCCAGGCUCAGCCCUGUACCUCUGUGGCCAUUCCCAGCCGCUGUGGCCCAAGGAGCAAAGAUGGACAGCUCUCAGGCAGGCAGUUACUCCUGGGGGAGGAAAACUGCGAUGGACUGGGUGGUUACACAGCAGGUGCCCUGGAUUUGGCCUGCUGAUGGACCCUGAAGGAAGAUGACCUUGUUUUGGAAGCCCCAAGGGACCAGCACGUGGCUGCAUGCUGCAUCGAGGCAGUUGACAGGCACGGGGAGGUGGCUGGGAACCACCUUGCCACCCCUGCCCCACAUCUCCCCCUCUUCCACCCCAGCAGCCUCCAUCCCUCCAACCUGCACUGGAUCCCGUGGGUCUUCAUCAAAAACCGUUCUGUACAUUUGGUGCCUGGAGCUCCCUCAGCCAUGGACUAUGAAUUCUUGCUAAAUAUAUAUUUAAGGGAGUCAUGGGGAUAUUUUUAAAUGACCCCUGAAGCUAUUUCUGCUUAAUCUCCCUCACUUUUCCUCUGUCUCUCUCCCUGAUCUCCUCCGCAGAGGAUGAGAGCUCAUUUUCAUCUCUCCUGUCUGGGCGACAAGGAGCCUGGCUGAGCGCAGACAAAAGCCAGUCCAAAAACGAGCAGACAGAGCUGAGAGAGAACAGCACCCGGGUCUGCUCCAGCCCAGAGCAACCAGGGCGAAAAACCUCUCUGCAGCCCUGCCCAGGUAUGCAAGGGGCUUUCGGCCCCUCUCUGAUCUGAGAGGAGAGGAAACCCAACCACUCAGCGCGAGACCCGUGUGCAGUCCUGGUGCUGGGGCCAGCCUUCAGCCCACGCUCAAAAGCAAAUACACCCCCAGCACACUCCACUCACAGCCCUGCCCGCAGCCCCACCACUUUCUUUCCACCCAGCCCAAGCCAUUUCACUGCUCCUGUGUCCCAGUUCCCCCACUGGACACCUGGGGGUAAUCACCCGGCCCUGCGGCUGGGGGGCCCCGGUGCCUCCCGGCCCCGCAGCUGGAAGAGGUUAUUUUCUGAGGCAGCCCUCAGGGGAAGGGCACUGGGUGUGCACUCACACACAUGUGGAUUUAUUACACCUAAAUGCUGCCAGGAGAGGCAUACAAAUGAGUGAAAAAGCCAAGGAACUAUUUGUUUAACCCUUUCAGCCCCAUGGCAGUCCCCUGCCCCAUCCUCCUGCUGGUGCCCUUGAGAAGCUGCCCUUGUUCAUCGCAGGCAAACUGCUUGUUCAUCUUCCCUGCAGAUUUCCUCACAUGGAGCCUGCCAUUUGCUUUCUUCCAGCAGUUCCCCUGCUGCUCAGGCACUUCCAGGUGCCUCCAGCCUGCGAGGCACAGACUGACCAGGCUCCCUAUGGGAAAUGCAGACAAGAGCAGGUAGUAAAGCAAGGAGGGAAUCUAACUCCCCGAGCCUGAAGCAGGAUUUAACCCACAUCUGGACCAUCCUGAGCGAGCAGCCUCAUUCUGAAGCCUGCAUUUCUCCAGUAAGAUUUAACCAUCAGGGUCCAGCCUGGACUUCUCACACAGACUCCCCCAAAGCAUCCCACAAGGCACGUGGAGGAGCAUGGACAUGGGAACAGACGUCUCACAGCCCAAGGACACUCAGAGCUUAGGUUUUGAUCCAAAUCUCUCCAGAAAGCUUUAUGAGACUCUAGUUGCUUUUCCCUGGUGCUUAAUGACCUCGGGGGUAGAGGCUGCCAGUAAUCAGGUUACCAUCACUCUGCCGAGAUGCAAUAAGCGCUGCUGACACUCACAGUGCAUUCAUGGCAAGCUACAUUGCGUGAGUUGGUGCAGCCUGUUUCUCCCUGGGUGCUUGCUACACAUUGAGGAGUUUGGCACUGCAGUUGUUUCUCACACCUCAGUCAAAGGCAGACUUGAGCUGCUGCAAAUAUUUGUCUGCUUUCUGGAAAAAAAAAUAAUCAAAAAUAAUGGCUGAGAGAUGGGACAUAGGAGCUGUGAACAGGAGAAACUGCAUGGCUUACUUCUUACCACAGGUCCUUUGGAAGCCCUCUUGUGCAUUCAGUCUUGGAGAUGCUUCACAAGCUGUUGCAUCCACAUUUCAGCACAGGA